UCUUUUUUUAUAUUGUUGAUCAACAAAAUGGUGAGAAUCUCUGGAAUUUUCUACUAUUCUUUUCUUCAUUUAAAAAGUUUACGAAAGAAUUUUGAUUCUAUACGUUUUUUGCAAGUAAGCAAUUCUAGUUUUAUGUGCUUAAAGUUGAAUAAAUUGAAUAGUGCCUCGACUCAAAACAUCUUCAAUAUUUAGAUUUAAGAAUUUUAUACAAAAUAUCGUCUUAGUAAAUUAAAUAGGUUGAUUUAUUAAUAGAGUUUGGUUAGAUAUAAACUUCUUAUCGUUAAAAUUAGGUACUUAUCCUCAAAUUAUUAAAAUAAUCGUAUGAUAAUUUUGUAAUAAUAAACAGAAGUAAAUUCAGGAAAUACACUUAAUUCUCCUUAGAAAGUUUAUGAAAGAUAUAAUUUGGCACGUAGAAAUUCCGGAAUCUAUAAGCGAUAUUUUAUGUUUGAAUAACAAUAGGAGAUACAUAAAGUAAAUGAAAUGAGAGAAACAUCCCUGUAUAUAAAGAAGCUAAAUAUUUUAGAAGAAAGAAGAAACUAUAAAGAAACUAUAUCUUAAUCUAUAGUCGAUUUACGAACAGGGAUUGUGUCAAAUAUAUGUAAUAUAAGAUGGUCCUAAAUAGCUAGGUUUACUAUGAAGUAUUGAAGUCAAAUAAAACUGUAAAAAUAAUAUUAUCACCAACAUUAGCAUUAUUACUUGAUUUAUAAUUUGAUCUGAAUCAAUUUUUACAUUUAAAUGGCAAAAUAGCAAUUUUUAAUAAAAAUACUUUUUUUAAUCUGUUACACUUUUAUUUAUUCCCCAAGGAUCACAUUUUGUCACAUAAAUCUUUAAAGCACUAAAUUCUGAUAAUAUGCACUCAUGUAAAAUCAUCAUCUUUUGUCUUGUAAACGUUUCAUUUCAGAUAUUUCACAAGGAUUUCAUUUCCUGUUUGUGUUCCUUCAAGAUCAAAUUUUCAUGACAUUUCUUCCUCACGACACAAGAAAGAAGAAUCGAGAUAAACAUCUUUCGUGGUUUGCUUCUUCCUUCUAUAGUUAUUUUAAUCCGUAAAGAAAAAGAGUUAAAUUUGUUACUACAAAAUGAAGAAAAAUAAAUGUUUUUCUGGAAAAUUUUACCUGAUAUCAAAGAAAAAGUUAAAACGAUUUAAUUUAAUAACUUUAUAACCUAAAUAAAUGCAACAUUUGAAUUAGAAGAUAGAAGAAAAGCAGACUUCUAUAAUGAUGUAUCCGGUUCCUGGAUCGAAGACUUAGAUUGCAGCUUGCAGUUAGAUGCCGAUUACUGAAGAGAUGUCGGAAGAAAUGAAGCGUUUGAUGUAGGAAUACAGUAAUAUAAAACGUGUUAGUGCUGAUUACGGAAUUUCCAAGGAUAGAAGAAACAGUAAUUAUCACUGAAAAUAAGUUGAAAGAUGUGAUAUUUGUUUCAUUAUCAAAUUAAAAAACAUUGGUUCAUUUAUACUAACUUUUAUUUACUUAUUUUAAAUCUUUAUAAUUCAAUUUGAGAAUUGCUUCUUUUA